rnacentral:rRNA from 1 species
AGCAGCCGCGGUAAUUCCAGCUCCAGUAGCGUAUAUUAAAGUUGUUGCAGUUAAAAAGCUCGUAGUUGAAUUUCGGGGUUAGUAGGUUGGUCAUGCCUCUGGUAUGUACUGGUCUCACUGAUUCCUCCUUCCUGAUGAGCCGUAAUGCCAUUAAUUUGGUGUUGCGGGGAAUUUGGACUGUUACUUUGAAAAAAUUAGAGUGUUUAAAGCAGGCAUUUUUGCUCGAAUACAUUAGCAUGGAAUAAUAGAAUAGGACGGCAUGGUUCUAUUUUGUUGGUUUCUAGGAUCACCGUAAUGAUUAAUAGGGAUAGUUGGGGGCAUUAGUAUUCAAUUGUCAGAGGUGAAAUUCUUGGAUUUAUUGAAGACUAACUACUGCGAAAGCAUUCGCCAAGGAUGUUUUCAUUAAUCAGUGAACGAAAGUUAGGGGAUCGAAGACGAUCAGAUACCGUCGUAGUCUUAACCAUAAACUAUGCCGACUAGGGAUCGGGC